GUAGGUGGCAAGCGUUGUCCGGAAUUAUUGGGCGUAAAGCGCGCGCAGGCGGUUCUUUAAGUCUGAUGUGAAAGCCCACGGCUCAACCGUGGAGGGUCAUUGGAAACUGGAGAACUUGAGUACAGAAGAGGAAAGCGGAAUUCCACGUGUAGCGGUGAAAUGCGUAGAGAUGUGGAGGAACACCAGUGGCGAAGGCGGCUUUCUGGUCUGUAACUGACGCUGAGGCGCGAAGCGUGGGGGAGCAAACAGGAUUAGAUACCCUGGUAGUCCACGCCGUAAACGAUGAGUGCUAAGUGUUAGGGGGUUUCCGCCCCUUAGUGCUGCAGCUAACGCAUUAAGCACUCCGCCUGGGAGUACGGCCGCAAGGCUG
rnacentral:rRNA from 1 species